UCUGCAAGACUCAAGCACCACUAAUUUAAAAGGCGCAUAGUAUGAAGUCAACCUUUGGCAGAUUAGUGCGCAAAUCUCUUCAACUGUGGGUGUGGCUCCAAAAUGAAGCUCUGGAGUUUAUAUCUUGAUCAGCCUCCUGACACAGAAAUUGCAUUUUCUUGGCCGGCCUGCUGCCCAUCCAGUGGAAAGAGCUCCGCUCUUGUAAUCCAGGGACCGGGAUUUCUAGUCUCACACCUGCCAGCUGGGCCAUGCCACCAUGGGCGUUGGGGUGGAAUCCUGAAAAGUAAAAUGGAAUCCUGAGAAUUUCGACAGUCCUACCUCGACUGGGACAUCAACGCUCUGCUCACAGUAUGCGCUCAAUAAAUGCGAUUGAUUGAUUGAUCACUUUAAGUCAGUGAAGAUGGGAAAUAUCGAAUGUCUAAUGUUUACGCACCUGCCAUUCCCCAAACUCUGAAGUUUCCGCCAGCGCUGAACUGUGACUCCCUCCAAAGUGGUUGAACUGAAAUCACGGAGAUAAAGUUGUUAGCAGGCAUUAUCAGAGAUGAGCUCACUCUCUGUCAAAUCUUUAUUAAGCACCCUCAAGGUGAAUAGCACUGUACUCAGCACUUAGGUGGAAAGAACCUUGAAGAACAGGCACAGCCAGUCCCUAGGGCUUAUAAUUUAAUAAAAGA